CAAAUAUUUGAUGGUGAGGAGAAAGUGUUUAGUGUUUGCCAUGUACCUAAUGUAUUAAGCAAUUUAUCUACAUUGUUACUAUCAGGUCAGAGAGGAACUGUUCAAGCUCAUAACGGGAAAAUCAAAAGGAAACGACAGCACAAAGAAAUUCACUUCAACUACUUACACAAAAGACCACUGAAGAUGCAGAUUGUGAAUCCUGAACUAACAAGUCACCUGUUCAACUACCC